AUGCCACUUGCAAGUGGACCCUCGACAUGCAACCGGGUCUUCAAUUUUCAUGCCACUUGCAAGUGGAUCCUCGACUUGCAAGUGGGUCUUUUUUGUUUGAUGCCACUUGCAAGUCGACCCUCGACUUGCAACUGGGUCUUCUUGUUUGAUGCCACUUGCAAGUCGAGGGUAAGUCGACCCUCGACUUGCAACUCGGUCUUUUUGUUAGAUGCCACUUGCAAGUGGACCCCCUACUUGCAACCAGGUCUUUCUUUUUUUGAUGCCACUUGCAAGUGGACCCUCGAUUUGCAACUGGGUCUUUUGUUUUCAUACCACUUUCAAGUGGACCCUCGACUUGCCACUGUGUCUUUUUAUUUGAUGCCACUUGCAAGUGCACCCUCGUCUUGCAACUGCGUCUUCUAUUUUUUUUGA
rnacentral:rRNA from 1 species